UGCUGAUGAGUAGGCCAGCUUGUGAGAACUUAUUUUUAGGGCUAUUGUUAUGAUUUCAGCCUUUGGGCUGAAGAUUCCCAGGUGGUAUGAGUUGAUCUAGUUGCAUGAUCUUCUCCGUGAUUGUGAAUGCUCCAUUAGCUGAUUAUUCUCUCUCCAGCCCACAUCCUUCUAAGCAUCUGGUGCUGGUGAAGCAAGAUUCUUCCAGGCUUAAUGUGUGAUUUGCAUCCACUGUUAGCCUUACACAUCAGCUUCUCUAUGCCAGAAAAAUGUCUUGAUGCCCAAGCCUCCAAAGAGCCACCAGCCUUAUGAUAUCCAUAGUGUUCUAUAGCUGGUGAGAACAACCACUGUUUACAACUGUAGAAAAGGAAUACAUACUUAUUUUCAGACCUACCUCCGUUAAAUGAGCUCUGUGAAUACUUGUUAUUUCACCUCUGCCAUUUUCAUGAUGAAAAGAAUUAGCAAUUGCAAGGAACAUAUCUGGGAAUCAGAUAGACCUGCCGUGACAACGUGGUACUCAUUUGUUUCCAAUCCAGUGGCAAAUUAUUCUCUUUUUAAGAAGAGAGAAGGAGGAGGAGGAUCAUUUCUCUCAGAGGGAGAAGAAAAAAAAAAAAAAAAAAGAAGAAUUAAUAAAUAUUUCACAGAAGGUGAACCCAGAGGUCCUGAAGCAAAUCCUGAACAAAUUACAGGGAAGCAGAAACAGCUGGAGAGAGAAUACCAUUGCAGUAAGCACACUGCCUUGACCCAGCCUGCCAGCGCCCUUCAGCUCCCAGCUUUACUGUUUCUAAACACCUUAGCAAAAAAUAGGCAGAAUAUCUCUCAUUUAUUCAAGAAAAAAAGAAGGGGAUCCAUCCAAGUUCUUUUGUGAGACAAUCUGAAGAGGACCUUGGGGUUUCUAUGUUAGGCAACUCUGUGUGCUCUGAAAAGCCCUGCAAAGGCAGCUUGCAAAAAAAGAAGCGUAGGAGGGAGCUGGGAAGGCAGUGUGGCCUCAUAGGAAAUGAAGGCAAUAAUGCACAGCUCGUGAAUACGGGAACACCGCUGAUGUGGGAAAAGCACACAUUUCUUAUCAGCUACACCACUACUCACUACUGUACAAGGAUAAGUAUACGGAGACUUUGUCUUUGAUCCCCCUCCCCCUCCCCUUUUUAGCUUUGUUAUUUGUUAUUAUUAUUGAUAUUAUCUUAUUAAUUAUUAUUACUAUUUCAAAUGAAUCAUGUAGGCCAGAAAAGUCAGAUUGGCCACCAUUUUGGUGGGGGAAGGAGAGACAUUUUUCUGAGGGGUCUCCAAAGGGAUGUACCCAUGCAGGUGCUGUGCUGGCGAAAUAUCUCACCAUAACAUUUGAGUGGCUCAGAGCUGCACAUUACUCCUUUACUUUCUUCUCCAUGGCCAACCUCCAAGGUUUUUUAUCCAUCUUUUAUAUGUUGCCUAUGUAAUCUUUGGAAGGAUGUGCUACAUUUGCUCAUAUAAGAUCAGCAUGACUGAACACUGGCUUGGAUGGAGCUCAGAUCCUACCAAAACCUAAAUGUUAGGUAAUGACUUUUGCUGUAUAUAGAACAUAGAAUAUAGGUCAAAUGAAAGAAGAAGUGACAGAAAGAGGGGAAGGCUGCAAUAAUGGAAAUAUCUUUAAUGCCACAAGCUACUCAAUAACUGAAAUCCUGAACAGCAUGAGUUCUGGGUUUUUUGUUUUGUUUUGUUUUUAAAAACAGGUUUAAGUAUUCAUCUGUUAUUCUUGAGAACUUCAG
ensembl:lncRNA